rnacentral:rRNA from 1 species
CUGGAGCUAACGCGUUAAAUCGACCGCCUGGGGAGUACGGCCGCAAGGUUAAAACUCAAAUGAAUUGACGGGGGCCCGCACAAGCGGUGGAGCAUAUGGUUUAAUUCGAUGCAACGCGAAGAACCUUACCUACUCUUGACAUCCAGCGAAUCCUUUAGAGAUAGAGGAGUGCCUUCGGGAACGCUGAGACAGGUGCUGCAUGGCUGUCGUCAGCUCGUGUUGUGAAAUGUUGGGUUAAGUCCCGCAACGAGCGCAACCCUUAUCCUUUGUUGCCAGCACGUAAUGGUGGGAACUCAAAGGAGACUGCCGGUGAUAAACCGGAGGAAGGUGGGGAUGACGUCAAGUCAUCAUGGCCCUUACGAGUAGGGCUACACACGUGCUACAAUGGCAGAUACAAAGAGAAGCGACCUCGCGAGAGCAAGCGGAACUCAUAAAGUCUGUCGUAGUCCGGAUUGGAGUCUGCAACUCGACUCCAUGAAGUCGGAAUCGCUAGUAAUCGUAGAUCAGAAUGCUACGGUGAAUACGUUCCCGGGCCUUGUACACACCGCCCGUCACACCAUGGGAGUGGGUUGCAAAAGAAGUAGGUAGCUUAACCUUCGGGAGGGCGCUUACCA